CAGAGCCCCGCCCCCGGCGCCGGCAGGCUCUGAGAGGGCGGGGCCUCAGGGAGCCCCGCCCAGCGUCGGGAGCGCGUGCUCAGUGCGGCUCUGCGGUUGCAGGAAACCUUCCGUGGUAUUGCAUGGCGUUCAAAGCUUUCCUAAACUCAGAAGAUCUGUGCUGGAGUCUUCCAAUUUACCAUGUACUAGGUGUACAACUUAGAAGAGAAGAUCACUCCUGGAUAGUUUUGUCUCCUGGCCACCAGGAGUUUGUGAAAGUUGGCAAAUUUUGACUGAGGACAGGAAUGGGGACUGAGAUGCUGCCUUUCUAGAAAGCUCCUGGUGAUGCUGAUGCUUCAUGGACCACUUUGAGGAUCUAAGGUAUUCGGAAAGCUUUCCUCUUGGGGCAUAUUUUUUGAUUUGGCUAUCAGAUUCAUAAUACUUGGUAUGAAUUGGUGAUAAUGCAUUCUUAAUAAUCAAUUUAUCACAUGUGGAGGCAGGAUGGACAGAGGAACUAUUAUAUUUAUAUUGAGCUAGUUUUGUUAUUAUUGAAUGUACAAUAGAAGUUAGUCCUAUGUCAUACACGCUGCACACUUUUUUCAGUUUGCCUUUUUCUUUGGGUUUUGUUUAUUGUCUUUAUGCAGACACAUGUUUCAAGUUUGUGUUGCCUUCUGGUCUCUGUGUCAAGUUUGGAAAGGCUUUUCAAUCCAAGAUUUAAAAAAUAUUCAACCAUAUUUUCUUCAAGUACUUCUGUGGUUUCAUCUUUUAUUUAUAUUACAAUUAAAAUUUUUAGCAGCUUUAUUGAGGUAUAAUUUACAUACCAACAAG